UGGGGAAUAUUGCACAAUGGGCGAAAGCCUGAUGCAGCAACGCCGCGUGAGCGAUGAAGGCCUUUGGGUCGUAAAGCUCUGUCCUUGGGGAAGAAAAAAAUGACGGUACCCAUGGAGGAAGCCCCGGCUAACUACGUGCCAGCAGCCGCGGUAAUACGUAGGGGGCGAGCGUUAUCCGGAAUUAUUGGGCGUAAAGAGUGCGUAGGCGGUUAUUUAAGCGCGAGGUGAAAGGCAAUAGCUCAACUAUUGUAAGCCUUGCGAACUGGAUAACUUGAGUGUGGGAGAGGAGAGUGGAAUUCCUAGUGUAGCGGUGAAAUGCGUAGAUAUUAGGAGGAACACCAGUGGCGAAGGCGACUCUCUGGACCAUAACUGACGCUGAGGCACGAAAGCGUGGGGAGCAAACA
rnacentral:rRNA from 1 species